AGAAAAUAUCUCGUUCGGCAAAAAAUCUCUCAGUCUCUUUGGUUUUCUUUGUUGUAGCAGUUAUCACUCCUGUACAUCGACAACUUGAACUCACAUCGACUGUACUCGCCGCGUCGCUGGAGCUCAUCCUCCUCCCUCAAUGUCGUCGUCUACCGCCUUCACGGAGUCUUUGGACCACUUCGAGACCCCAACGCUGGACUUGGAGGGCCCCACGCUCCUCCAGGCCAUCACGGAGCACGGCGGUUACGCAUACGUCAGCAUGGCAACCCUGGCCGCCGCUGGAGACUCACGAGCGGCGGAGGCGGCGCGUGAGAUGGCUUGGGAGCAGCUUCACUCGGGUCCAUGGCACUCGGUGUUGCCCGUCUGGCGCGACGCCUACUCCAUGGCCUGCCUCCACGUGGCCAGACUCCAUUUUUCCAAGGGUGAGCUUAGUGAGUCCCUUAGGGUUUUGGACAUGGGAUUGAUCAUGGGCGGGAUGCUCCUCAGGAAGGACCUCGACUCGGCGGUCGACAAGGUCUCGGCCAAGGCCAGGGACGCAGCUGCGGUUUCAGAGCAACUCGCAAAGCGAAAACUUGUCCGCCAGGACGAGCUCCGUGACGCAGAGGUGCUUCAGUCUUUGCCAUUUAAGUCUCUGUCUUUGAAAUUUGUGGGAAGGAGACCUGCUCUAUCUUUGGAGGGAUUUCUGCGUGAAUAUUUCCUAUCAGGUUCUCCGGUCAUUAUUAGUGACAGUAUGGCACAUUGGCCAGCAAGGACAAAGUGGAAUGACAUGGAUUACCUAAGAAGGGUUGCUGGAGACCGCACAGUUCCAGUUGAGGUUGGCAAAAACUAUUUGUGCCCAGAGUGGAAGCAAGAGCUUAUUACAUUUUCCCAAUUUCUUGCAAGGAUUGAAGCAAAUGACUGUUCUUCUGCGGCCCCUACAUAUCUUGCUCAGCAUCCUUUGUUUGAUCAGAUAAGCGAGCUACGGAAUGACAUAUGUAUUCCUGACUACUGUUUUUCCGGGGGUGGGGAGCUGAGGUCUCUCAAUGCCUGGUUUGGUCCUGCUGGGACAGUAACACCAUUGCACCAUGAUCCACAUCAUAAUAUACUUGCUCAGGUUGUUGGCAGAAAGUAUAUAAGGCUUUAUCAUGCUUCAUUGUCAGAGGAACUUUACCCAUACACUGAAACCAUGCUUAAAAACUCAAGCCAGGUAGCAGCAUUCUCAAGCUCUGGAAAAAUUGAAUGAUCUGCAUGAGUUAGCUUUAUCUUUAAAUGAAAAUGCAUGGUUAAUGGUUGGAUUAAAAGCAAUCAAGUUCCACAUAGUCACGAUUCUAAUUCUCUCUCUCUCUCUCUCUCUCUCACUCUCUCUCUCUCUCUCACACACACACACACACGAGUGUGUGUGUGGAAUAAGUACACUUUACAUGCUAGCAGCCAUGUGAUACUGCACAAUCCUUUGGGGCUAACAAGUAAGACCCCACUGGAUUCUUAUGCCGGUCUCCUAUUUUUAACUUGGUGAGUUCAGCACACAUAUCUGGUCUCCGCAUUAUCUCCUUUGGCAUGGACAUCAUAUCCUGUCAACCUCCUAUGCUGGUUGAUCUGGACAAUAUAGACGAGAUACGGUUUCCAAAGGUGCAUGACUUAGAAUUUGAGGACUGCAUUUUAGAGGAAGGAGGAGGGCUAUCAACUUCUUGGAUGCUAGAUAUGAAAGGAUCUGGAUCCACUGAUUACAUUCGACUGUCUGUUAUGAUUUACAUUGCAGAUGUAAUUUCUUUUCUUUUUUGUACUCCGCUAAAGAGUUCAUUUUAUAUU